CAACCAAACUGCAUGUUUGGGCAUGUCAUGAGUCGUGAACGUGAAAGACGUGCCCUCAUGGACGCCUCGCAACUUUGUUUGAAGACUGCGCUCAUUAUUUACUUUAUUCACUUCCUGCAAUCACAAUAGGCAGAUUCAAAUUUCGAAGUUGGCGUCUAUUUCCAGUUUGCUUCGUCCCGCCCAUAACAACCAACCUGCAUGUUUGGGCAUGUCAUGAGUCGUGAACGUGAAAGAUGUGCGAUCAUGGACGCAUGAACUUCAAGGAUGUAUAACACUGCAGCUGGUCUUAUCUUGGUUGAAGCCACAGCGGACAUGUCAACUGAAAGCGGCUUGUGCACUGAUGGUACCUGCUGUAGAAUGAGUCAUGUGGACAAGAAAACGUACACUCCUCGACACUUCACCCUGCGCAGCCAAAAUGGACAAUUGGAGGUAUUUAAGGAGGCCCCAGCAGCCAAGCAAGUGAACAGACAGUUCGAAGUGAUCAGGCUCUGUUUCUCAUGCACAGUAUGUAUUGCCCACAUUGAAUGUCUCCUAAUAUGAUUUUUACAUUUGUUUAAUUUGCAAGAAAUGGUUACAAAGUUUAAUGGCCAUGAUUUAAGUCCAAAUAUUGUUGAUUGUCUUCAUAAGCUGCUCCUGUGCUUCACAAUUGUGGAAGAGUACAGCUCCCAAUACACAUUUAUUGCAUCGAGAAAAAGGCCUCAAAAUUACUCUUAUUGCACAUAACAGGCAAUAAGUAGAUUCUGCUAGUAUAUGUUACAAAAACCCACGUCAUCAUGUCUGAUUUUAAUCACUAUCUGCUGCUAUGAGAGAACGGUCAGACUGAAUAAUGCAGUGAAUCGAAAUGGCAAUUCUGUCUGAGUAUCAGGCUAGCAAUACAUUGAGUGAAGUAUGUAUGUGCAGUCAGCUCACACUGCAUACUAGUAAUACAACAACUAUUAUAAUAAUUGAUUAAUCGGUUUGAAACGUUUUUCGUGAUUAAAACAAGAUUUCCGAAUUCCAUGGUAUUCAAAAAAUAUAAAAAAUAAAACAAGUCAUUUUUUUUUUUUUAACAAUGUUUUUCAAGAUAACUGAAGAUUACAGUAUGAUAAUACUGCUCAUGUCAUGUUUUGAAAAAGUUAAACAUAGAUUGUUACUUAUGUCCAUGCAGUAGAAUAGGAGGAGGCUUUCCAGUGUUACUGGAUGGGCGGAGCAGGGAGCUAUCUUGUUUCUACUAUUAGGGAUCGUGACUGAAAACAUGUUAUUUGAGCCCAGGGUUAAAAAUAUUGAAAAAUUGUUUUAUCUUUUCAUAUAAAAAAUAGUCAUCCUUAGCUGUUUUGAUGUAUAAUGACUUACUAUCCUUGUUUUUCUGUCAAAUGAAAUGUUUUAACUAUUUGUUCAGUUUACUAAAAUGACUGUCUAAUACCCUAAAUGUACAGAUAUUAUCUUUAAAUAUACCUGUUAUUGUAUUUUGAUGUACAGUGUUCCAUCAUCCAAUUCACUUAAAUAACUAAUACUGUAAAUGUGCAGAAAUAUCUAUUUGAUUAAAGGUAAAUAUUGUCUUUGUAAA